rnacentral:rRNA from 1 species
AAGCUCGUAGUUGAAUUUCGGGAUUAGUACGUCGGUCGUGCCUUAGGUACGUACUGGUGUUACUGGUUCCUACCUUCUGACGAACCAUCAUGUCAUUAAUUUGGUGUGGUGGGGAAUCAGGACUGUUACUUUGAAAAAAUUAGAGUGUUUAAAGCAGGCUCGCGCUUGAAUACAUUAGCAUGGAAUAAUGAAAUAGGACGUUGAUCCUAUUUUGUUGGUUUCUAGGAUCGACGUAAUGAUUAUAGGGAUAGUGGG